AGGGUGGCAGUACCUUUUAUAAUACAUAAUAGCCUUAUUAUCUUGAUGAAAAAUUAGAUUUAAGAGAAUGGUGAAUUUUUUUUCCCCAAAGAGGCAGGUGAUAAACUCUCUAGUUGAAGAUUAGAGGAAGUAGGAUUUCUGGAGCCUUUGAAUUAUGAGAGGAUAAGACCUGGAAACUAGGAGAGGAAAACAUUCAGUUGGAUUGUAGGUCAAAAGAAAUUUUCUUAGCUAAAGCAUUUCUAGCAUCAUUGCUGGGACUACGGACAUGUGUCACAAUUGUUGACCCUCUCUACCUAGGGGCUGGUGAAACCUACCUCCAAGGGCAAACUAAUUGAAAUGCCUCUUUGAAUUCAGCACCAGUGUUCAUCCUGCCUA
rnacentral:lncRNA from 1 species